GGCGCCUGAAAUGGAUUAAGGAAAAGGUAACCAUGGUAACCAUGGGUAGCUAGCAAUUACUGGCGCCUGAAAUGGAUUAAGGAAAAGGUAACCAUGGUUACCAUGGGUAGCUAGCAAUUACUGGCGCCUGAAAUGGAUUAAGGAAAAGGUAACCAUGGUAACCAUGGGUAGCUAGCAAUUACUGGCGCCUGAAAUGGAUUAAGGAAAAGGUAACCAUGGUAACCAUGGGUAGCUAGCAAUUACUGGCGCCUGAAAUGGAUUAAGGAAAAGGUAACCAUGGUAACCAUGGGUAGCUAGCAAUUACUGGCGCCUGAAAUGGAUUAAGGAAAAGGUAACCAUGGUAACCAUGGGUAGCUAGCAAUUACUGGCGCCUGAAAUGGAUUAAGGAAAAGGUAACCAUGGUAACCAUGGGUAGCUAGCAAUUACUGGCACCUGAAAUGGAUUAAGGAAAAGGUAACCAUGGGUAGCUAGCAAUUACUGGCGCCUGAAAUGGAUUAAGGAAAAGGUAACCAUGGUAACCAUGGGUAGCUAGCAAUUACUGGCGCCUGAAAUGGAUUAAGGAAAAGGUAACCAUGGUAACCAUGGGUAGCUAGCAAUUACUGGCGCCUGAAAUGGAUUAAGGAAAAGGUAACCAUGGUAACCAUGGGUAGCUAGCAAUUACUGGCGCCUGAAAUGGAUUAAGGAAAAGGUAACCAUGGUAACCAUGGGUAGCUAGCAAUUACUGGCGCCUGAAAUGGGUUAAGGAAAAGGUAACCAUGGUAACCAUGGGUAGCUAGCAAUUACUGGCACCUGAAAUGGGUUAAGGAAAAGGUAACCAUGGUAACCAUGGGUAGCUAGCAAUUACUGGUGUAUGUAGAAGAAAGAGAUUACUUGUACUGUGAUAAAGCCAAUGUGUGGGAAGGACUAUCAGGAUCACUAUGUGUGGCUCAAAAUAACUGGCACUUGGAAUGGACUCCUUGUCAGAAACACUUUUAUCAUCUUAAACCAAUAUUUGAAGACAAACUUUGUGAAGAAAUCUCAAAAUUACCACCUUUAUUAAAACCUUUAUUUACCGAAUUCAAUCGAAAAUAUAUCAUUAGCCUACUAAAUCAGCUAAUGGAAAUAGAUACUUUGUCACUUAGCUAGAAUUACAAAAUAGCGAUAAGUCACGUGUCUGGAUUUAUCUGAGAAGCAGCUUAUAGUGUAUGGUGGCGUAUAGAGCACUCGACAUACAUUGACCAUAUAUGGACAUGUAGCAUACCUCGUACGGCCACGUGACAUAUAGAGCACUGUAGUCCUAUACUCUUACACGACAUACACUGAGCUCCACGUGUUCGCUGGAGGCAGUUGUAGCAUCUCGUGGAAAAUUCUGAGACGAAAGGGAAUAAAUUAUUUCCAGAAUACCCCCAAAACACAGUAA